CAAAAGGAAAAGGAGCAAUGCCGAAGAUUCCGGGACCUCGAAACCCGAAGAAACUGCUCCUGCACCUCGAAAAGCAGCUUAUGAUCCAUACAUCGAGAGUAUCAUCAGCUCUGAUGAUGAAGAAACACCAACUUUAGAUGUGGCUGCUCGAACGAGCACGUCACAUACUUUAGUUAUUUCAGAAAAACCAGUUGAAGGGGAGGAAUCGUCGCCUCCUCAACAAAAUGUUGAUACAUCUACUCCUUCGAGCCCCCGUGCCCCUUCACCAAAAAGGGCACGGGUUGAAAAGAUUGUUGAUCCUGCCCCUCAGUUGGGCAGUUCGUCGCCCCCGCUCCUAGAUGAUCCUAUGAUCAAGGAUCUUCUCCGCAUCGGUUCCCAAUUUAUUGGGUACCGUGAAUAUGCUAAUAGAGCCGAAGGUAACGACUUUCAUACUUGUCGUUUUUCCUUAAUUUGUCACUCCUGUUACUUGCCGCGAUUUUUUGAUCUUUCUUCUCUCUUUUUUCCAUAU